rnacentral:rRNA from 1 species
UACAGAGGGUGCGAGCGUUGUCCGGAAUCACUGGGCGUAAAGGGCGCGUAGGUGGCGACCCAAGUCGAUGGUGAAAGCUCGCCGCUCAACGGCGAGUCGGCCACCGAUACUGGGUUGCUGGAGCACUGUAGAGGCAGAUGGAAUUCCGGGUGUAGCAGUGAAAUGCGUAGAUAUCAGGAGGAACACCGAUGGCGAAGGCAGGUCUCUGGGCUGACACUGACGCUCAUGCACGAAAGCGUGGGGGGCAAACAGG